rnacentral:rRNA from 1 species
CCUACGGGCGGCUGCAGUGGGGGAUAUUGGACAAUGGGGGGGAACCCUGAUCCAGCGACGCCGCGUGAGUGAAGAAGUAUUUCGGUAUGUAAAGCUCUGUCAGCAGGGAAGAAAGCAAUGACGGUACCUGACCAAGAAGCCCCGGCUAACUACGUGCCAGCAGCCGCGGUAAUACGUAGGGGGCAAGCGUUAUCCGGAAUUACUGGGUGUAAAGGGAGCGUAGACGGCUGUGCAAGUCUGGAGUGAAAGGCGGGGGCCCAACCCCCGGACUGCUCUGGAAACUGUAUGGCUGGAGUGCAGGAGAGGUAAGCGGAAUUCCUAGUGUAGCGGUGAAAUGCGUAGAUAUUAGGAAGAACACCAGUGGCGAAGGCGGUUUUCUGGACUGAAACUGACGCUGAGGCACGAAAGCGUGGGGAGCGAACAGGAUUAGAUACCCGGGUAGUC